rnacentral:lncRNA from 1 species
CCUGGUCUGUAUUAUAAGAAGUCUGUUGUACAUGGCUCAGAUUAAAUAAUGAAGUUCAUACUAAUUAACAGUAUGAUCAGUUGAUUGCAAACAGAUGUGUAUAGGCUGUUCUAACUGUUCCUAACCCCCUCCCAUUUGCCUGCAGUAACUGGCUGCAUGGAAUGGAAGGUGCUAAUCCCCUGCAGACAGAGCUCAUGCUAGGCAGUACUGGCUGUCAGGUUUUUUAAACAGCUGAGACAGACACCAGCCCACUCCUGCUGGUCUUUGCAGGGUCAGAAGUACAUUGCAGGUGAGCACAGUCUCUGUGGCAGCUGGCAGCAAGGAGACGAGAUUGUUGUCUGCAAGGGUGUGGGGAGGUAGAGCUGACAUCCCUCAUCUUGGCCUCCUGGGAGGCUUUGUGGCAGCUGCUUCCCUGGAGCACUGGGAAGGACAGCAGUCGUGGCCCUGGCCCUGCCACUGUACCUACUGCAAGGGUGGUUGGAACUGCUAAAGGUCACUUUGGGCAGGCUUCUGUGCCACCAGCCCAGCGUGCACAAGGUGACAGAGAGAUCUGACCAGACAUCAAAGUGCUUGAUUAAAUAGAAGCUCUCCUGUUGCUUCCCAAGAUGGAUAUGGAGUAUGUGAUAAAUGGCCAAUAGCUUGCCUGACAUUGUCCAAAGGCUGUAAACACUAACUGAAUCCCCAUUCUCACCUGCUGCCGGUUACUGCUUCCUGCUCUCUCCUUGUCUUACUGAUGUCGUUUUGCAAACCAUUUUGGAACACCUUAAAUUUGAGCAUAUUACAGAGUCCUUUCACAAGAUCGGUAUUUGUGAAAAGAAAGCUUAUCAUCUGAAGACUUUGAUGCUAUAAUACGUUAUGUAACAAAUACCACAGUGUCAAAAUCUCCUUGUGCCUAUGAUGUGCUACUUAUUGCUCUCACCUGUAGCGCUCCAGUUCAUGAUGGCAGCAAAGGGGCAAUUUGACAAAAAGAUGUCUGAAGCGAAGGUGUGUCGCUGAAUUCCUCCAUGUAGAAGCAACUGCACUCAUUGAUGUUUAUUGAUGCUUGCUGAACGUUUAUGGAGACUUAACAGUGGAUGUGAGCACAGUGAGGAGGUGGGUGGUGCAUUUCAUCAGUGGUAACAGUGACAGUGGGUCACCUCCACUGCUACAGGUUGUUAUGAGUGCGUCAUGCAGGCUGUUGUUCAUCACUGGUGAAAAUGUAUAGUUUGUGGUGGUGACUGUGUUGAAAACUAGUCUUUUGUAGCUGAGAAUUUGCUCUAUCACCUACUGUUCUUGUGCUCUUUGUAUCUACUGUAGUUUCUGUGGAAAUGAAUUGGAGGCAUUGCUUUCAGAUCUACAUAGGUACAUCAUGAAAAUAAAUAGCUUGUUUAAAGAAUGAGUCUAUUCAUACUCUAGUGAGGGAGAAGUAACAGCCUGCACUUAUCUCUUAGUAAACACCACACAUGAGAUCCACAACAUAAGUCUCCCAUCCCAUGGAACUACUUGUUUAUGAAUGCUAUUUAGAGGCAUCUGUCUUUUAUGUGAUAAUCUUUUUUUUUAUUAGCAUAUACAACUUUAAUAUUUAGCAAACCCAUCUUGCAUAACAUUCUAUGAUUUACUGAAAUGAUAUGCAGACUGCAGAAUCGGCAGUGCUGAUAAAAGUGACUGCUCCCAUCUAAUGGUAAAUGGAAGAACAACAGGAAAAUAAUAAUAAUAAUAAAAAAUUCUGCUUUACAGCAGUAACUGUAGGCACAUUGAAAGUUAUAUUCCCAGAUCCAGAGGGUUCAAAAUAGAACCUAAAUAAGAUAGCAAGUAGGAGGAUAAGAGGAU